rnacentral:SRP_RNA from 1 species
GCCGGGCGCGGUGGCUCAAGCCUGUAAUCCCAGCGCUUUGGGAGGCCGAGACGGGCGGAUCACGAGGUCAGGAGAUCAAGACCAUCCUGGCUAACCCGGUGAAACCCCGUCUCUAGUAAAAAAUACAAAAANNNNNNNNNNUUUUUGUAUUUUUUACUAGAGACGGGGUUUCACCGUGUUAGCCAGGAUGGUCUCGAUCUCCUGACCUCGUGAUCCGCCCGUCUCGG